rnacentral:rRNA from 1 species
UACGGAGGGUGCGAGCGUUGUCCGGAAUCAUUGGGCGUAAAGGGCGCGUAGGUGGCCCCUCAAGCGUGCGGUGAAAGUCAGGGGCUCAACCCCUGAUCGGCCGUGCGAACUGGGGAGCUUGAGCACUGUAGAGGCAGGCGGAAUUCCGGGUGUAGCGGUGGAAUGCGUUGAGAUCCGGAAGAACACCGGUGGCGAAGGCGGCCUGCUGGGCAGUUUUGCUGACACUGAGGCGCGACAGCGUGGGGAGCAAACAGG